AAAAAAGGUAUUUUUAAUCGUUAUCACUCUUUCUAUUGAUCCUGAAAGAUUGUUAAAAAUAAAUUAAAACUGUAAAUACUGACUUGCAAAUUUAGAACAAUGACACUUUGCUGUAGAUAAAAUAAUAAUCACUACUAAUUAAUAUGGAUCUACAGUCGGAUAAUGUGCUUGAUGGACAUUUAUCGACCUAAAUUACUGUCACUCAAAUUG